AGCGAACGCUGGCGGCAGGCCUAACACAUGCAAGUCGAACGGAUCCUUCGGGAUUAGUGGCGGACGGGUGAGUAACACGUGGGAACGUGCCCUUUGGUCCGGAACAACUCAGGGAAACUUGAGCUAAUACCGGAUGUGCCCUUCGGGGGAAAGAUUUAUCGCCAUUGGAGCGGCCCGCGUCUGAUUAGCUAGUUGGUGGGGUAAAGGCCCACCAAGGCGACGAUCAGUAGCUGGUCUGAGAGGAUGAUCAGCCACAUUGGGACUGAGACACGGCCCAAACUCCUACGGGAGGCAGCAGUGGGGAAUCUUGCGCAAUGGGCGAAAGCCUGACGCAGCCAUGCCGCGUGAAUGAUGAAGGUCUUAGGAUUGUAAAAUUCUUUCACCGGGGACGAUAAUGACGGUACCCGGAGAAGAAGCCCCGGCUAACUUCGUGCCAGCCGCCGCCGUAACAC
rnacentral:rRNA from 1 species